ACAACUAGGAUGUUGGCUUAGAAGCAGCCAUCAUUUAAAGAGUGCGUAAUAGCUCACUAGUCGAGUGACACUGCGCCGAAAAUGUACCGGGGCUAAACAUAUUACCGAAGCUGUGGAUUGUCCUUUGGACAAUGGUAGGAGAGCGUUCUAAGGGCGUUGAAGCAUGAUCGUAAGGACAUGUGGAGCGCUUAGAAGUGAGAAUGCCGGUGUGAGUAGCGAAAGACGGGUGAGAAUCCCGUCCACCGAUUGACUAAGGUUUCCAGAGGAAGGCUCGUCCGCUCUGGGUUAGUCGGGUCCUAAGCUGAGGCCGACAGGCGUAGGCGAUGGAUAACAGGUUGAUAUUCCUGUACCACCUAUAAUCGUUUUAAUCGAUGGGGGGACGCAGUAGGAUAGGCGAAGCGUGCGAUUGGAUUGCACGUCUAAGCAGUAAGGCUGAGUAUUAGGCAAAUCCGGUACUCGUUAAGGCUGAGC
rnacentral:rRNA from 1 species